rnacentral:rRNA from 1 species
GAUGAACGCUGGCGGCGUGCCUAAUACAUGCAAGUCGAACGCGCAGCGAAAGGUGCUUGCACCUUUCAAGCGAGUGGCGAACGGGUGAGUAACACGUGGAUAACCUGCCUCAAGGCUGGGGAUAACAUUUGGAAACAGAUGCUAAUACCGAAUAAAACUUAGUAUCGCAUGAUACAAAGUUAAAAGGCGCUACGGCGUCACCUAGAGAUGGAUCCGCGGUGCAUUAGUUAGUUGGUGGGGUAAAGGCUUACCAAGACGAUGAUGCAUAGCCGAGUGGAGAGGCUGAUCGGCCACAUUGGGACUGAGACACGGCCCAAACUCCUACGGGAGGCUGCAGUAGGGAAUCUUCCACAAUGGGCGCAAGCCUGAUGGAGCAACGCCGCGUGUGUGAUGAAGGCUUUCGGGUCGUAAAGCACUGUUGUAUGGGAAGAAAUGCUAAAAUAGGGAAUGAUUUUAGUUUGACGGUACCAUACCAGAAAGGGACGGCUAAAUACGUGCCAGCAGCCGCGGUAA